rnacentral:piRNA from 1 species
UGGAAGAGUGUAGACAUGCCAUG